GUGAAUCCAGAGGCAGCUGGAGUGGAAGAAUGCCUUCUUAACACACUGCCCCUGCAAUCUCCACUAAAUAUUGUUGGUAGAGUCAAACCUCUUUUCUAGAUCUGACCUACAAAUCUGGAGGAUGUGAAGAUGUGCAGAGGCCUGUGGCAGUGACUGAGGGCUCCAGUGGUCCUAAUGUUGUUGAAUUCAAUAGAAGCCUGUCAGUAGCACUUGAUGCAGCAGAUCUCCGUUCUUCUCUUUGUUAUCAGGAUAUCAGCCACUCUUCCUUUUUGCUGUCUGUUAUGGUUCAUUACCAUGUCCCUUGCUGGAUACUCCUCCCAUAUAUUUCCAAAUGCUGUAAUG
ensembl:lncRNA